rnacentral:rRNA from 1 species
UACGUAGGGUGCGAGCGUUAAUCGGAAUUACUGGGCGUAAAGCGUGCGCAGGCGGCUUUGCAAGACAGAUGUGAAAUCCCCGGGCUCAACCUGGGAACUGCAUUUGUGACUGCAAGGCUAGAGUACGGCAGAGGGGGAUGGAAUUCCGCGUGUAGCAGUGAAAUGCGUAGAUAUGCGGAGGAACACCAAUGGCGAAGGCAAUCCCCUGGGCCUGUACUGACGCUCAUGCACAAAAGCGUGGGGAGCAAACAGG